rnacentral:lncRNA from 1 species
CUCCCCUCGCCGUAAGCCCCGGGAGCUGAGGGCGGUCUUUCCCGGGGCCCCCGGCCCAGCACUGACCUGUGUAAGAGGACGCGCUGCACAGAGUCCAGGUCCUCCAGGUUCCGGGGGGCAGGUUUGGGGACACUGGACCUGCCCACCUGAAACAUGCCCACUUGAGACUCGCUGCAAAAGCGUACAAUGGAUUCACAGGCGGAAGGCGGAGGGGGCGCCGAGGGCUGUGCCGCUGCACUCGCAGCGCCGCCUGCCUCGGGCACUGAUGGGGCCGCAGCUGGGGAACUCGGAGCUGAAAGAAAAGGCUGUCAGCUUUGGACCCUCAAAAACCUGACUGAAGGGUAGCGGUGUGCAGCGACGGCUGUCCUUGUCCUUCGCCCGCUUGCUAACCCGCGCGGAUCUGGGAGCCCCGAGGCGGGCGGCACAACCACCCGGGCGUGGGAGACCACUGGGCAGAUUCCAAGGAAAAGUUGGCCAUGUAGGUCUUCGGAUAUGCAGGAACAGGCAGCUUUGGGGAUCUAGGGAGCAACUUUGCCACCUCUCUUUGUUCCGUCCAAGAUUCAUAUUUCUGAAAUUAAAGUCUGGUCAAGGCUCCAUCCUGUGUCCACCUCUUGGUCCUGAGACAGACCUUCUGCACAGUAUCAAGUCUACGCACCAGAAAAGGGGCGGUGUCCCCCCAAAAGGCAAAGAGAUACUUGGGUAAGAAUAAAAUAAGGAAUACCCCCUGCUUAAUGUAUUCAACUCAGAUGUUUUCCAAUGCUUUUUUGUGUGUUUGUGGUACUUAUAAUCAUUUUCCUUAGUUACAGAGACAAAUAUGUAGUAUUCUGUGAAGUUGUAAUAAAUCAGAUAUCCACCAACAUGUUUUUCUGAUGUGUUUGUUUAUUUUCUCUAAGCAAAUGCUCCUUCAGGUAGACCAGACAUGGGCUGUUGACCACAGAGGCCUAAAUUCUUGAUGAGUGCCACUGUGUAAAGUUAAGGCAAGUUACAUU